rnacentral:rRNA from 1 species
GAGCGGCGAACGGGUGAGUAACACGUGAGCAACCUGCCCCUGACUCCGGGAUAAGCGGUGGAAACGCCGUCUAAUACCGGAUACGACCCGCCACCUCAUGGUGGAGGGUGGAAAGUUUUUCGGUCAGGGAUGGGCUCGCGGCCUAUCAGCUUGUUGGUGGGGUAACGGCCUACCAAGGCGAUUACGGGUAGCCGGCCUGAGAGGGCGACCGGCCACACUGGGACUGAGACACGGCCCAGACUCCUGCGGGAGGCAGCAGUGGGGAAUAUUGCGCAAUGGGCGAAAGCCUGACGCAGCGACGCCGCGUGGGGGAUGACGGCCUUCGGGUUGUAAACCUCUUUUACCACCAACGCAGGCUCCCAGUUCUCUGGGGGUUGACGGUAGGUGGGGAAUAAGGACCGGCUAACUACGUGCCAGCAGCCGCGGUAAUACGUAGGGUCCGAGCGUUGUCCGGAAUUAUUGGGCGUAAAGAGCUCGUAGGCGGCGUGUCGCGUCUGCUGUGAAAGACCGGGGCUUAACUCCGGUUCUGCAGUGGAUACGGGCA